AUAAUGAUACUUCUGUCCAGUCCUAAGGUCGAGCGAGAUAAAACCGUCACAGCCAAGGAGGGCAGCUCCGGGAGAUCCUCGGAGGGGUGAGAGUCCCAUGA
rnacentral:ncRNA from 1 species